UGGCAUACCUCUUCAGUCUUGUGUCAAUGCUUGUAUUGCAUUGAAUGCACGGUGGGUUUCUUGUGUUGCAUGCCUAAUUAAUGGUAUCGCUUGAUGAAUUGGUAUUCUUUUCGUCUUGUGUCGCCUAUGCGAUGUGAGAUGAACCUUGAAGCAACCUUUGUGAUCCACUCUUUUGAUGCAUACGCAUUGAUUUUGUGGCCCAUUGAGUGUUGCUUGGUCUCAUGGAUAUGGAACCUGGUGUGGGCAUGGAAUCUUACCGGUUCCUUGUUUGCCCAAGUUUAGCUUUUCUAAAACGAUCGUCUAUCAUGUGUUAACGUGGUAGACAGCUUCGAAUAUGAAUGCUACCUGGUUGAUCCUGCCAGUAGUCAUAUGCUUGUCUCAAAGAUUAAGCCAU
rnacentral:misc_RNA from 1 species